AGCUGCAGAUGCAAAAAAGGAAGGAAGAGAAAACACAAAUGAUGGGUUUCUAUAUCACACAUCUAAUGCACAGAAACUAAAAAGAGAACCAGAAAGAACUCACAGAAAGAAGGAAAAUAGCUCUCUGUUAAUUGACCUCUGAAAGGUGACAUUUGGGGCCGGGCGACAAUGACAGUUUUCAGAGAUGGUACAAUACAAUGAACAUUCCAUCGACUUCUUACAGAACUAAUGCAGCAGUGGUCUUGGUCUAAUUCUUCAUAAAGACGUUGGCAUCAAAACUAAUAACAAAGUCUACCAAAACAGAAAGUUCUCUGCACCAAUGCAGAGAGUAACGUUUUCUUCCCAGAAGCACCAAGCACCUUGGAGCGCCAACCCUAGCUCCUGCAGUCUUUGUUUUCCCGUCUCAUCUUCUCCUCAUAGCACAGCUGGCCUGCUGAAUGAUGAUAAGGUUGGAAGUUCUCAGCAUGCAGCAGAAGCAGGAAUGUCAUGACUCUGACCACGCCUCCAAAUGUCAACGGACAUGUAUCCUUGCAUGUUACCACAGCAGGCAGAGGAUGGAUGCUUGUAAGCCACUAGUAAGGACAGAGAAGGUGGCAUCAACUGGACCCCUGGCUA